rnacentral:rRNA from 1 species
GUCGGCUCAUCACAUCCUGGGGCUGAAGUAGGUCCCAAGGGUAUGGCUGUUCGCCAUUUAAAGUGGUACGCGAGCUGGGUUUAGAACGUCGUGAGACAGUUCGGUCCCUAUCUGCCGUGGGCGCUGGAGAACUGAGGGGGGCUGCUCCUAGUACGAGAGGACCGGAGUGGACGCAUCACUGGUGUUCGGGUUGUCAUGCCAAUGGCACUGCCCGGUAGCUAAAUGCGGAAGAGAUAAGUGCUGAAAGCAUCUAAGCACGAAACUUGCCCCGAGAUGAGUUCUCCCUGAGACUUUAGGUCUCCUGAAGGAACGUUGAAGACGACGACGUUGAUAGGCCGGGUGUGUAAGCGCAGCGAUGCGUUGAGCUAACCGGUACUAAUGAACCGUGAGGCUUAACCUUAC